UUAAAUCUUUUUUCGUCUGAAAAUAGGACCCUUCUCCAUUUCUUUUUCCAAUGCACUCUUUCUUUUGCAAAGCGUAAACGUUCUACUUUGUGUUUCGUUGUUUCUUUUUCGAUUUUAGCCUCUUGACAUUUUUGCAGGAUAGUAGAACUCGACGAACACUUGAAACACUGGCACUAACACUACAUUUUUCCAUUAUUUGCUUCGUUGUUAACUGCGAAUUGGAAGCUACACGAAAAAUUGCUCGCUUAUCACUAGUACUUUUCUUUUUGCCAGAAUCUUCAACAUUUUUUAAGAAAUUGUGUAUUACUUUACGACUUCUUCUUAUUACUUUCGAUAUUUUUGCUACUGAUAACUGUUGCUGUUUUAGUUCAAGAAUUUGCUUUUUCAGACUCGUUUUUUUCCGCGUCCCAAAU